rnacentral:rRNA from 1 species
AUACGGAGGAGGCUAGCGUUGUUCGGAAUUACUGGGCGUAAAGCGCGUGUAGGCGGAUCGUUAAGUCAGGGGUGAAAGCCCGGGGCUCAACCCCGGAACUGCCCUUGAUACUGGCGAUCUAGAGUCCGGAAGAGGUGGGCGGAAUUCCCGGUGUAGAGGUGAAAUUCGUAGAUAUCGGGAGGAACACCAGUGGCGAAGGCGGCUCACUGGUCCGGUACUGACGCUGAGACGCGAAAGCGUGGGGAGCAAACAGGAUUAGAAACCCGAGUAGUCC